rnacentral:rRNA from 1 species
CGGCCGGUCACGCGCGGGUCGUUGGAUGAUUAGCGAUCGAACCGCUGUUUAGCCACGUCUUCCACACAGGGGAUCAAACGCGUGGCUGUUGGGGCCCAUGCACCGCCCGCGACCUUAUCCCUUCGCUUCCAUAUCCACUCGCAUCUCCUUCCCCAUCCACCAACAGCCGGGGGCGCGGUCGUCGCCAUGACUGCCGGCCACUGGAUGCGCCUCAUUUUGAAUCGUGUGCAGAUCACCCGCACCGGAUGCAUCCCUCUCCAUGGCCGUCCACGGCCAGGGGCUUGCUCGUCGCCUUGUCCGCGGUAACUGGACGCACGCCCUCUCCAUGGCAACCGCAGCCAGAGCUUCGCUAGUCGCCAUGACCAACCUGCAAUCAGCCGCGGGGGCGACGAGUUUGUGCUGGAGCCGGGGAUUGCUGGAACCAGUUGGUGGACGUGCUGCAAGGUUGACAGCUCACAGGAGGAAGCUGCAUCCAGCGGCGAGGAGGGCUGCAUCCAAUGUCGUUCAAACGCCGGGAGUUGCAACCAUGUACGCCGGAGCUACAACCGGUGACCGGGGGUGUUGCAAGAGGGAGUGGCCGUUUUUGCUGAUGCGUCUUUUUUUGGUGAACCAAAUUUUUGUUUUUUGCUGGAACCGAUGAAUUUCUUUGCUGGAAUAGAUAUAAUUUUUUGCUUCAUCGGCUGCAGAGCUCUCAAAUGUUUCAUGUUGUUUUUGCUGGGGC